rnacentral:rRNA from 1 species
CCUACGGGAGACAGCAGUAGGGAAUUUUCGUCAAUGGGCGCAAGCCUGAACGAGCGAUGCCGCGUGAGUGAAGAAGGCCUUCGGGUCGUAAAGCUCUGUUGCGGGGGAAAAAAGGCAGCAUCAGGAAAUGGGUGCUGACUGAUGGUGCCCCGCCAGAAAGUCACGGCUAACUACGUGCCAGCAGCCGCGGUAAUACGUAGGUGGCGAGCGUUAUCCGGAAGGAUUGGGCGUAAAGGGUGCGCAGGCGGUCCUGCAAGUCUGGAGUGAAACGCAUGAGCUCAACUCAUGCAUGGCUGUGGAAACUGGAGGACUGGAGAGCAGGAGAGGGCGGUGGAACUCCAUGUGUAGCGGUAAAAUGCGUAGAUAUAUGGAAGAACACCAGUGGCGAAGGCGGCCGCCUGGCCUGUUGCUGACGCUGAGGCACGAAAGCGUGGGGAGCAAAUAGGAUUAGAUACCCCUGUAGUC